GCCUAUUAUUACUGAUCUCACUAUUAUCGCUGGUGAACAACGGGAAGACGGUGAAGGAAUCGCUAAUGCCAUUUGCACUCGAAUCCUUGAGGUUCCAGUUUAGCAAAAGUUGCCUUCUCUGUAUCUAUUAGACAGCAUCGUUAUUUCUCAUCUCGUCUACCAGAGGUCUUCUGUCUAGCAUACAAGCAAGCACAUCCGAGUUUACAUCCUUCAAUGCGUCAUUUGUUUGGGACUUGGUCAAGUGUUUUUCCACCGCCUGUACUA